rnacentral:rRNA from 1 species
ACUCCUACGGGAGGCAGCAGUGGGGAAUAUUGCACAAUGGGCGCAAGCCUGAUGCAGCAACGCCGCGUGAGUGAUGAAGGCCUCGGUCGUAAAGCUCUGUCCUCAAGGAAGAAUAAAUGACGGUACUUGAGGAGGAAGCCCGGCUAACUACGUGCCAGCAGCCGCGGUAAUACGUAGGGGGCAAGCGUUAUCCGGAAUCACUGGGCGUAAAGGGUGCGUAGGCGGUUUUCAAGUCAGAAGUGAAAGGCUAUGGCUCAACCAUAGUAAGCUUUUGAAACUGUUAAACUUGAGUGCAGGAGAGGAAAGUGGAAUUCCUAGUGUAGAGGUGAAAUUCGUAGAUAUUAGGAGGAACACCAGUGGCGAAGGCGACUUUCUGGACUGUAACUGACGCUGAGGCACGAAAGCGUGGGGAGCGAACAGGAUUAGAUACCCUGGUAGCACAGAG